UGCAAGUCGAGCGAAAGACGAGGAGCUUGCUCCUCUGACGUUAGCGGCGGACGGGUGAGUAACACGUGGAUAACCUACCUAUAAGACUGGGAUAACUUCGGGAAACCGGAGCUAAUACCGGAUAAUAUAUUGAACCGCAUGGUUCAAUAGUGAAAGACGGUUUUGCUGUCACUUAUAGAUGGAUCCGCGCCGCAUUAGCUAGUUGGUAAGGUAACGGCUUACCAAGGCAACGAUGCGUAGCCGACCUGAGAGGGUGAUCGGCCACACUGGAACUGAGACACGGUCCAGACUCCUACGGGAGGCAGCAGUAGGGAAUCUUCCGCAAUGGGCGAAAGCCUGACGGAGCAACGCCGCGUGAGUGAUGAAGGUCUUCGGAUCGUAAAACUCUGUUAUUAGGGAAGAACAAAUGUGUAAGUAACUAUGCACGUCUUGACGGUACCUAAUCAGAAAGCCACGGCUAACUACGUGCCAGCAGCCGCGGUAAUACGUAGGUGGCAAGCGUUAUCCGGAAUUAUUGGGCGUAAAGCGCGCGUAGGCGGUUUUUUAAGUCUGAUGUGAAAGCCCACGGCUCAACCGUGGAGGGUCAUUGGAAACUGGAAAACUUGAGUGCAGAAGAGGAAAGUGGAAUUCCAUGUGUAGCGGUGAAAUGCGCAGAGAUAUGGAGGAACACCAGUGGCGAAGGCGACUUUCUGGUCUGUAACUGACGCUGAUGUGCGAAAGCGUGGGGAUCAAACAGGAUUAGAUACCCUGGUAGUCCACGCCGUAAACGAUGAGUGCUAAGUGUUAAGGGGGGUUUCCGCCCCCUUAGUGCUGCAGCUAACGCAUUAAGCACUCCGCCUGGGGGAGUACGACCGCAAAGGUUGAAACUCAAAGGAAUUGACGGGGACCCGCACAAGCGGUGGAACCAGGUGGUUUAAUUCGAAGCAACGCGAAGAACCUUACCAAAUCUUGACAUCCUCUGACCCCUCUAGAAGAUAGAGUUUUCCCCUUCGGGGGACAGAGUGACAGGUGGUUGCAUGGUUGUCGUCAGCUCGUGUC
rnacentral:rRNA from 1 species